CCGUGGCCCAACCAGCUUGCUGGGGGGAGCGGUCGAAGGUGGGGCUGGCGAUUGGGACGAAGUCGUAACAAGGUAGCCGUACCGGAAGGUGCGGCUGGAUCACCUCCUUU
rnacentral:rRNA from 1 species